rnacentral:rRNA from 1 species
CCUACGGGUGGCAGCAGUAGGGAAUAUUGCUCAAUGGGGGAAACCCUGAAGCAGCGACGCCGCGUGGAUGAUGAAGUUUUUCGUAUUGUAAACUCCUUUUGUUAGGGAAGAUAAUGACGGUAUCUAACGAAUAAGCACCGGCUAACUCCGUGCCAGCAGCCGCGGUAAUACGGAGGGUGCAAGCGUUACUCGGAAUCACUGGGCGUAAAGAGAGCGUAGGCGGGAGAGCAAGUCAGAUGUGAAAGCCUAUGGCUUAACCCUAGAACUGCAGUUGAAACUGUUAGUCUAGAGUAUGGGAGAGGUAGGUGGAAUUCUUGGUGUAGGGGUAAAAUGCGUAGAGAUCAAGAGGAAUACUCAUUGCGAAGGCGACCUGCUAGAACAUAACUGACGCUGAGGCGCGAAAGCGUGGGGAGCAAACAGGAUUAGAUACCCGGGUAGUC